UACUCAGCGGCCCCAAGCCAUGUACCUUAAUACUCUAAUCCCAGGUAGUAUUGCGGUUUUAACCGACAAGGGGCCCUACCUGGCUUAAAUUUUCUAUUUUCAGAUCUUUGAAUCGAGUUGGCAUUUGCACAUGUGAACAACUUCAAAAUAAUUACAACAAGGCGUACGUUACAUUUAAGUACUUACCAGGAAUGGAUAUUAUGGGGAAUAACAGAGAUAUAGAGAACACAUGAUAUCCUUACGGGAAAGUUGAAAAUGCGCGUGGCCACAAAAAGUUCAAUCCGUCGCACGGUGCUUUGCUAUGGUCAGGAUUCGACACGUGUAACUUGUCUAUGGGAUGAUGCCGCAAGUUUGAAAAUUACAGAAUGCAACAAUCCCAUGCAUUGCGCAUUUAUUCGACGUUGCUUCGACGAUCCGUCCUGGUGCGUGGAUGACUACUUCAUCGGCACCACGUUGACAGAAUGCCUUAAUAAGAGGGAAUGGCAGGGAUUUCGAGAGUGUAUUAGACUUAACGUGUUGCCUGGAUAUGGAUACAUGCAAGCAGGCCGGGCUGGUGGACGUGUUGUUAUCGAGUACUUUACAGGCUUUGAUAAACGGCGAUAUUUUGAUUAUCGACAAGUCGAGCCAGAGAACUUGGUCAAGCUACACCCCUCGGAGUUGGUAUUGUACACAAACAUAACCUACAAGAUCACUUGUAGAGCUAUAGAAUUUCUGUUUGUGAACGGGGUCAAAUUGUCGAUCGAAUACAGAAACGGGUCUCAAGAAUUUAUCCAAAACACUACCGACUUUGUCAACACAACCGAUAUCAAUGGAAUGGGCACCCUGGGUUUCACAAUGGUGGAGAAAAAUCUCUCAGCCGACGUCGUCGCGUUGCAUUGUCAUGCUCCUUGGUGGAACUCAUCAGAAUAUAUGAUCGUAUCUAGGAGGUUUGAAACAAAACACUUAUUUCCUGCCAAAAUCAACAAACCUACCAAUCCCAGUCACACAUUCGUCAAUGGAGCAAGUCAAGGACUAAUUUGUAGUGGAAGGGGUGAACCUCGGGUAGAUUAUGAAUGGUAUUUUGAACACGAGAAAAUGGAUUUUUCGGACCGAUCUGAUGGAAUUUCGACAGAAAUUAGUUCAGAAGGAGACAGCGUGCUAAGCUUUCUCCACGUUAAUAAAAAUAUGAGUGGUGUCUACACCUGCCACGUAACAAAUUGGAAUGGGAGUGACAACUUCAAUUUUACUGUGCAUGUCGAAGACAAAGAGAACGAUGUCAAACUUGGCGCCAUGUUUUGGACAAGCAUUGGGGUUGCUGGGUUUGUUUUUCUUGCCUUUAUGGCAAUCACGGUCCUAGUUAUUCGACACUAUCGACUGAAUUUGGCCAGACAUUAUAGGAAACAGUGUAGAACUGAGAGAAAAACACGGGAAAUUUUGGUCAUAUGACACAUCCUUCGAAAUCGAUAGGAGUGAUAUUCAAUUUGAUCACAAUGACAUGGUGGGAUUUGGUAAUUAUGCGAUCGUGCUGCGAGGACAACUCCUUUCGCAAGGAAUCGAUGUGGCAGUCAAACUCCCUAAGGCUACAACACAGAUAGAUGAGUUUAAGGGCUUGCUGACCGAAAUUAAGAUAAUGAUUUACGUCGGGAAACACCAAAACGUCAUCGCCUUCAUUGGUGCUUGAAAAGUGUAUAUUUUGAUGGAGUUUGCGGAGAAUGGAUGUUUGCAUUCCUAUCUCAGAAAUCAUAAACCAGGAAGCGUAAGAAAGGGGGG